AAGUCGUAACAAGGUUUCCGUAGGUGAACCUGCGGAAGGAUCAUUCAUAAUGAAAGCGUUUAUGGCACUUUUAAAAAAAUCCAUAUCCACCUUGUGUGCAAUGUUAAAGAUCUCGUCUGAAGGGGGGGGGGAUGGCUUUUGGCUGUUUUCCCUGGAGGCGUGGUUUUUUAUAUAUACAUCAACUCUUUCUGUAAACCAAUUUGUCUGAAAAAUAUUAUGAAUUACUUAAUUCAAAAUACAACUUUCAACAACGGAUCUCUUGGCUCUC
rnacentral:misc_RNA from 1 species